UGGACCAGUGAUGACAAUGUGCCAUGAACCAAGGAUUAUGAUUUAUCCAAUUCUGUGUACUUGAAAUACAAAGGGGAAUA
ensembl:snoRNA